GCUUCCUGCGCCGCUGGGAAGGCGCCCGUCUCGCCGCCGUCGGGGCCCAGAAACCCACAGGCCCCCGCCACGACCGCAAACCAGCUGGGGGCGGCCGGGGGGCCACGCCACGCACCCGGGGUUCUCCCAGGGUGGGACACCACACAGCGGGGAGGCCCCGGACGCCUCUGGGGUCCCACACACUACCGGGACGCCACACGGUGACCUGGGGUCCCACACACGAGGGGGACAGCGGCCACGCCCAGGGACCCUGCGCCGAGACGGGCACCGCGUCGCGUGACCCUGGCGGCGCAGCCCGGCGGCCCCCGCUGCGCCGUGGCCGGUGGCUCGGUGGCCGAGUGUCCGCGGCUCCCGGCCGCGCCGGCCCCGCCCCGCCCGCCGGCCCCUGGCGGAGUGUCCCUGCUGCGCGGGCCGGGGGCUUCGGGCCUGGGAGGGGCGGCGCCCGGUGCCCCAGACGCAGCCGGUCUGCCAGCCACUCCUGCCAGGUGGCUUAUCAGGACUUCGGCCCCGCGGGGCCCGGCGUUCGGGCCGGCGAGACCCCUGACCUCCGCCCCGGGGCCGUGGAGCGCUGAGACGUCUUUCGGGGUCGGAUCGGCCGGCCCUCCACGCCUGGCCACGCAGUGGGAGAGACUCAAGCCUUGGCAGGGCGGGGAGCGGGAAGCCCGGGGCCCCGAAGUUGGACAGUCGGCCGGGUGGUCUCCAGGGGAGGCAGCUUCCAGCGAGGCCUGCGGGCGCAGGGACGCAAUGGUGUGUUUGGGGAGGGGCAGGGCUCGGUCUGUGCUCGCCUGAGGCGGAGGGACAUGCCCCACGGGCCGGGGGUGCCCAAGCUGGCCUGGGUGCUGGGCGGAGGCGAGAGGGCCACGCCGCUGCAACCUGAGUGACCUUCAGCUGGGACCUCCUGCCCCUCACUUCCCCAGUGGAGGCUGGAACCUGCCUCAAACCAGCACUCCUGGGCGCAGUUCCUAUCCUGGGGGAGCCGGCCCGGAGUCCCUGUGCAGGUCUUGGCCGGACCUGCGGCAGGGCAGGUGUCUAGAGAGGCAGCCAGGACCUACCUGUAGGUGACCCCAGGGCGGCUCCAUACUCCCUCUCUCCGCUGCCUUGGGGGUUGUCUCCUUGUCCUCACACUCCACACUGUCCCCCGACUCUUCCCAUUCACUCCGUUGGCCCCCACAAUUGGAGGCCAGGCUUUCUCUGUGUGUUCACACACCAGAAAGCUGGGUAAGAAGAUCAUUUCCUUAAAAGUGAUAUUUAACCCGGCAAGGUGGCUCACGCCUGUAAUCCCAGCACUUUGGGAAGAUAAGGCAGGCGCAUCGCUUGAGCCCAGGAGUUCAAGACUAGCCUGGGCGAUAUAGUGAGACCCUGUCUACAAAAAAUAAUUUUUUUUUUUAAUUAGCCGGGCAUGGUGGCCUGCACCUGUGGUCUCAGCUACUUGAGAAGCUGAGGUGGGAAGAUUGCUUGAGCCCAGAAGGUUGGGGCUGCGGGGAGCCGUGCUUGAGCCUCUGCACUCCAUCCUGGGUGAUAGGGACACACCCUUUUUUUGAGACAGACCCUGUCUCAAAAAAAAAAAAAGGGUCAGCCUCAGUGGCUCAUGCCUGUAAUCCCAGCACUUUGGGAGGCCGAGGCAGGCGGAUCACGAGGUCAGGAGAUCGAGACCAUCCUGGCUAACGGUGAAACCCCGUCUCCACUAAAAAUGCAAAAAAUUAGCUGGGCGUGGUGGUGGGCGCCUGUAGUCCCAGCUACUCAGGAGGCUGAGGCAGGAGAAUGGCGUGAACCUGGGAGGCGGAGCUUGCAGUGAGCCGAGACUGCGCCACUGCACCCCAGCCUGGGCGACAGAGCGAGACUCCGUCUAAAAAAAAAAAAAGGAUAUUCAGUCCAGACGCAGGGGCUCACGCCUGUAAUCCCACCACUUUGAGAGGCUGAGGCGGGUGGAUUAUUUGAGAUCAGGAGUUGGAGACCAGCCUGGCCAACAUGGUGAAACCCCCUCUCUACUAAAUAUACAAAAAUCAGCCGGGCAUGGUGGCACAUGCCUGUAAUCCCAGCUACUCGGGAGGCUGAGGCAGGAGAAUCGCUUGAACCUGGCAGGUGGAGAUUGCAGUGAGCUGAGACUGCACCACUGCACUCCAGCCUGGGCGAUGGAGUGAGACUCUGUCUCAAAAAAAAAAAAAAAAAAAAUAGAAAAGGGACUUAUUUGUUUUCCUGGAGAUAGUUUCGUUGGCCCACGUUUUGGACAAAACACAGCUAGUGUUGCACUUGACGUUGUCACUUCCUUCCAUCUGGAUUUGAAUUCCAUACAACUCAGUCAAAUUGUAACUCAGAGAAGGUGGUUGCAGCCAGGCCUGCUGGGAAGUGUCUCCAAUCAAGCAGAGAAUUCCUCUGGCUCCUCUGGUGGACCAGGGGCUCUGUGCAGGGCCCCUAGCAUGGGCAGUGCCCACCCAGAGCCUCUGCUUCCUUCUGUGCCUCUGGCUUUGCAGGGUCCUAGCCAGGGACCAACACUUUGUCCAGAGUGCGGACCCCUGGGAAGUAGCCAUAGGUGUGCCAUGGAGUGAAGGUGCGGGGACAGGUGAGGGCCUCCAGUUGGUCUCUGAAGCUACCUCCACCUUUGUGGACUCUUGAGACUUCCUUCCCCCAAUAUGUCAGAGCUUCCAGAGGAAGGCACCCACCCCACCAAGGGUCAGAGCAGCCACGCCUAGAGGGAGCCACCAGGGUCCACUUUUCUUCCUGAGCUUGGCAGGGAAGAGGGUGGGGGGUGUCUCCCGCCUGCUGGCCUUCCACCCUCCAGCCCCGCCCAGCAGCUGCCCAGGCCAGUCGCCCACGCGGGCCACCAUACUGGCAGGCCGCGGGUUAAGGCUGCAGGCACAGCCACAGCGCGGAGUAGGGUGGGAUGGACGUGGUGCCUGCCCAGAGAAGCCCUGGCAUGCGGGCAAAGGCAGGGACCUCCCAGCUUUCUCCCUGGCCCCUACCACGGUGACAGGCUUGGUCAGCUAGUCAUGAGUUUGUCCCCUUGUUCGAUGAGCUCCUACCACUGUAGACACUGGGAUCAGGGUAAGGAGACCAGGUUGUACCCCGUGUGGUUCCAUUCUGGUGUGAGAGACAACAGUCAAUCAACAAACCUGCUAGUACGGGAGCGAGAUCUUUCAGAUCCCCAAAAGGCGCGGAGUGGCUGGGGCUGGCUGUAGGCAGGGAGGGCCUCCUGGGAGGCUGGCCUUGGAGUUGAGACCCCCACCUUAAGGAGCCAGCAGUGUGGAGAUGAGUUGGAUGGCGCCCCAGGACCAGAAAGAGGAAGACACUGGCAAAGCAAGGGGUACCCCAAGCUUUGGGGGAACUUGGAAACCUUGGUGGGGAAAUGCAUCGCAGACCAGCUCUGCUCCACCCUGCCUUGCCCUGCCCUGCUGCCACCCACUCUCUCCUCCUCAGGAAGCAGAAGGAAGGCCUUGUAGCAGCCAGGCAUAGACUGCCAUUGGCAAAAACAUGCUCAGUUACUGGGAAAGAAACCUUCAAAUGUGAAAAUAAAAAUUGCUCAAGUAACAUCAGCUUCGUAUAAUUUUGUUUUGUUUUUGUUUUUGUUUGAGAUGAAGUUUCGCUCUUGUUGCCCAGGUUGGAGUGCAAUGGUGCGAUCUCAGCUCACUGCAACGUCCAUCUCCCAGGUUCAAGCGAUUCUCCUGCCUCAGCCUCCCGAGUAACUGGGAUUACAGGCGCCUGCCACCAUGCCCAGCUAAUAUUUUGUAUUUUUAGUAGAGACAGGGUUUCACUAUGUUGGCCAGGCUGGUCUUGAACUCCUGACCUCAGGUGGUCCACCUGCCUCAGCCUCCCAAAGUGCUGGGAUUACAGGCUAUGCCACCGUGCCCGGCCAGUAGAAAUUUUAGAAAGACCUUUGUCUUACUUUGGAUUCCCCCAAACAUAGGCCCUGAGACAAAGAUUUUUAUUUUACUUUAUUUUAUUUUAUUACUUUAUUUUUGAGACAGAGUCUUCGCUUUGUCAUCCAGGCUAGAGUGCAAUGGCACGAUCUCGGCUCACUGCAGCCUCAGCCUCCUGCAUUCAAGUGAUUCUCAUGCCUCAGCCUCCCGAGUAGCUGGGAUUACAGACAUGCGCCAUCACACCAGGCUAAUUUUUGUAUUUUUAGUAGAGACGGGGUUUCACCAUGUUGGCCAGGCUGGUCUCAAACUCCUGACCUCAGGUGAUCCGCCCGCCUUGGCCUUCCAAAGUGCUGAGAUUACAGGCGUGAGCCACUGUGCCUGGCCUUUUAUUUAAUUUUUUAUUUAUAGAGAUGAGAUCUCACUAUGUUGCCCAGGUUGGUCUCAAACUCCUGAACUCAAGCGCUCCUCCCCUCAGCCUCCCAAAGUGCUGGGAUUACAGGUGUGAGCCACCGCGCCCAGCCAAGACAAAGAUUUGAGUUCGAGUGCUUUGCUUGGGAGGCGAUCCAAGGAAGCACAGGAAAGGGUCAGAG
rnacentral:lncRNA from 10 species